rnacentral:rRNA from 1 species
ACCCGCUGAAUUUAAGCAUAUUAAUAAGCGGAGGAAAAGAAACUAACCAGGAUUCCCCCAGUAGCGGCGAGUGAAGCGGGAAAGCCCAAGCCUGUAAUCUCCGCGAAUUGUAGUCUGGAGAAGGGCCUCACUGCGCGGUCCUCCCGAAGUUGCCGAGGAAAGGCGCGCCGGAGAGGGUGAUAGCCCCGUGCACAGGAGAGACCGACUGUGGGAGGCCUCUUCGGAGAGUCGGGUUGUUUGGGAUUGCAGCCCAAAGUGGGUGGUGAACUCCAUCUAAGGCUAAAUACUGGCACAAGACCGAUAGCGAACAAGUACCGUGAGGGAAAGAUGAAAAGCACUUUG